CUGCAGGUGUGUCCAGGUGUGGGUUCGUUGGGUCAGCAGAGGAUUUAACGGGACUUUGUGUCGGUUUGAGUUGUUUUUAAAGGAGGAUGAAGACGCUGGUGGUGUUCCUGCUCCUCAUGAACGUUUCCCAGCAUGCCUCAGCUGUGGAGAUGUAUGAGGGGGACUCGUUCAUCCUGCCCUGUCAGUUUCCCACUUUUAAUUUUCCAAACCCCUCAGUGGUGUGGAGUCACUCCGACCUCAGUCCUCCAACCGUCCACCAGCGUCAGCUUGAAGGAGACGAACUGAAAGAUCAAAACCAGCGUUACAGCGGCCGAACAUCCAUGAAGACUGACGCUCUGGAAACUGGAGACCUCAGCCUGACCCUGACCAACCUCCAACUGUCUGACAGCGCCACCUACACCUGCUCCAUCAGAGACUUUGGACGUGAACUGAGUCGGAGUGAUGUACAGCUGGAGGUCAAAGAACGGUUUCCAUCCUGGGCCAAAGCUCUCCUGGUUCUCCUGGUUCUUCUUGUGGUUUCCGGAGGACUUUUAUUUCAUUUCCGGCACUAUUUCAUGUCAGUCCCCUGGGUGGAGGUGGAUUCAGGGGUGGAGUCUGUCCAGCUGAUCUGCAAAACCACAGUUUGCCUGCCUAAAGAUGAUAAAGUGGAGUGGAAGGACAAAAACAACAGGAAGGUCCACGUGUAUGAGAACGGCUCUGACCAGCCUGAAGAACAGGACGAUAAAUACAAGAACCGAACGAAGAUGAAGAGGAAGGUCCUGGAACCUGGAGACCUCAGUCUGACCCUGAAAUACCCCACAGAUGGAGACAACUCCACCUACACCUGCACCGUCUACAGCAGGGAGGGAAACACCCUGAUGGAGAAACAAGUGGAGCUGAAAGUCAGAGUCCCCCAGGUGGAGGUGGAUUCAGGGGUGGAGUCUGUCCAGCUGCCCUUCAACACCACACUUCACCUGCCUGAAGACACUAAAGUGGAGUGGAUGGAAAGUUACAGGAAGGUCCACGUGUAUGAGAACGGCUCUGACCAGCCUGAAGAACAGCACCAGGAUUACAGAGACCGAACGAAGAUGAAUGAAGACCUGCUGAAAACUGGAGACCUCAGUCUGACCCUGAAAUACCCCACAGAUGGAGACAACUACACCUACACCUGCACCGUCUACAGCAGGGAGGGAAACAUCCUGCUGAAGAGAAAGGUGGAGCUGAAAGUCAGAGUCUGUCAGGUGGAGGUGGAGGAGGGGGCGGAGUCUGUCCAGCUGCCCUUCAACACCACACAAAACCUGCCUGAAGAUGCUGAAGUGGUGUGGUGGCAUUAUGAUCCAUUAAUGUUGGCCCACCUAUAUAAGAACGGCUCUGACCAGCCUGAAGAACAGCACCAGGUUUACAGAGACCGAACGAAGAUGAAUGAAGACCUGCUGAAAACUGGAGACCUCAGUCUGACCCUGAAACACCCCACAGAGAGAGACAGUGGGAGAUACAGGUGUAGAGUCUACAUUGAGAGGAUCUCCAGAUUCAAAACAGUGCUGCUCAAGGUCAAAGGGAGAGUUCAGGUCCAGGAUCAAACAGGGGACAUCAGGAACAGAAGCAGCUCCAUUGAUCCGACUCCUCUGAUGGCUGAUCAAUCAGUUUGAUCUGUUCUCAUCCACAUCACAUCUUAUGUCAUCUAGGGCAAUACACCUAGGAAAGAAUCUUCUGGCAUGCCUGAUCCAUCCCUGGCAAUCUUCUGCUGAUAUCUCCAGGCAUCCAGCAUUCAUUGCAUCCAGGAGGGACAUUUGAUCAUGUGGAUGAUGGUCGUAAACCUUCCACCGCCAUGAGGAAAAGAAUUCCUCUAUGGGGUUGAAGAAUGGAGAGUAAGGUGGGAGGAAAAGAGACUCCAUUCUGGGAUGGGCUGCAAACCACUCGGUGACUGCACGGGAGUGAUGAAAUGCCACCUUGUCCCAUACAAUUAUAAAUGUUGGCUGAUUCCUUCUAGAGAUGGACCGAUCCGAUAUUACGUAUCGGUAUCGGUCCGAUACUGACCUAAAUUACUGGAUCGGAUAUCGGAGAGAAAUAAAAAAUGUAAUCCGAUCCAUUAAAUAUCAAAAAAACACCUCACAAAACUUGCCACACGGCGUAACUCUGCUCAUAACCGUAGCACGUCAGAGCAGUGUGCUCACGUGAUAGAGAGGCUGUGUGUAUUUGUAGCCUCGCUACCAAACCAGCAUUUCAUCUCCGAGGAAGUUAUCCCAGAGAGAAGUAAAGCAAGUGUGUAAGUUCAUCUCUGAAUGUUUAUAAAGCGUUCCCACGUUAAGCUUAACAACCGAUAUAUGGAGCGACUGCCUCUCUCCCUCACCUUCCUGCUGCUACUUCAAUGGUGAAACUGCUUAAUGAUCAGCUGAUGGGCUUUUCUGUCGCGAGUCCGUCUCUCUUCUUUGUAUUUGGUCCACUUUGCACCAGAAAGAGGAAACCAGCGGCUGAACAACAGCAGCACGUUUAACCUUGAUAAGCUGUUGUUAGAAUUUAUUUAAUAUUACUUUCUACACCAGGAUCCUUUUCUACGUAGCUGACGGCUGGUAACUGUGCAGGGGCGGAUCUAGCAAAGUUUAAGCAGGGGGGCCGAUAGGGCAUGAACAGGGAAAAGGGGCACAAAGACAUACUUCUCUUUCUUAUUCUCAUUUAAAAUGUCUAGCUUUUAAUAAAUAAUUAUCUGAAUCUUACACCCAAAGUUUUAAUCUGAUGUAAAAUGUAUAGAAGUCCAUUACUGUAUAUAGUAACUGCUAAGUCUAAUUUACCCUAGUAAGCUAUAGUACUUUUUCCUUUGGGAAGGUACCAUCUGUGAAUUCUGCAAUUCUGUUGAAGAAAGAUGUUGAAUCUAUUUAAUUAUUCUUGAAAAAUAAUUUAUUUCUGUGCAUUUUUUUUCACCCUGCAUCAAAUUAAAGUUGAUUACGUCGAUUAAGCAUCAUGAGGUGGAGGGUGGAGGGUGGUUCCCCAUUUUCUUUUGCUGCACUGUAAAAUGUAAUUCUAGAUGUUUGUUAUUUCAACAUAUUAUUCUAUAUCAGUUUGACGAUAGAUGACUGAAGUUGUUGUUAUAACAUAGAAUUACAAGUUAAAACGUCCCAAUUACACCAAAAAGCUAACUUGAAAACUCAUGUCCAGCUAAAUCAGCAACUUAUGUGAACUUGACAAUGUGGGUAAGUUGAGCACAGCAGGAUUCAAAACUGCCUCACGUGACUGCUACCGAGGUGCAUCAUGGGGAAUUGGCGGUUAAC
ensembl:lncRNA